rnacentral:rRNA from 1 species
UACAGAGGAUCGUCAAGCGUUGUUCGGAUUCAUUGGGCGUAAAGGGCGCGUAGGCUGCGGGGCAAGUCGGGUGUGAAACGUCUCAGAGCUCAACUCUGAAACUGCACUCGAUACUGGCUUUGCUCGAGGACUGGAGAAGGAGAUUGGAAUUCACGGAUGUAGCAGUGAAAUGCGGUAGACUAUCGUGAGGAAGACCAGUGGCGAAAGGCGG